GCAUAUCAAUAAGCGGAGGAAAGAAACCAACCGGGAUUACCUCAGUAACGGCGAGUGAAGCGGUAACAGCUCAAAUUUGAAAUCUGGCUCUUGCGGAGUCCGAGUUGUAAUUUGUAGAAGAUGCUUUGGGUUGUGGGUUCGGCCUAAGUUCCUUGGAACAGGACGUCAUAGAGGGUGAGAAUCCCGUAUGUGGCCGAGGCCCGCGCCUACGUAAAGCUCUUUCAACGAGUCGAGUUGUUUGGGAAUGCAGCUCAAAAUGGGUGGUAAAUUUCAUCUAAAGCUAAAUAUGGGCCAGAGACCGAUAGCGCACAAGUAGAGUGAUCGAAAGAUGAAAAGCACUUUGGAAAGAGAGUUAAACAGUACGUGAAAUUGUUGAAAGGGAAGCGCUUGCAACCAGACUUGGGCGCUGCCGAUCACCUUGAGUUUUCUCGAGUGCACUCGACAGCGCACAGGCCAGCAUCGGUUCGGGUGGCCGGAGAAAGGCCGUAGGAAUGUGGCUCUCUUCGGGGAGUGUUAUAGCCUACGGUGCCAUGCAGCCCAGCCGGACCGAGGACCGCGCCUUCGGGCUAGGAUGCUGGCGUAAUGGUUGUAAGCGACCCGUCUUGAAACACGGACC
rnacentral:rRNA from 1 species